rnacentral:misc_RNA from 1 species
AAAUAAAAGAGAAAAGAAAAAAGAAAAAAGAAAAUAAAACAAAUAAUCAAAAAAACACAAAAAAAUCUUAAAAAUGAAAACACAAAAAAACCAAAAAACUAAAAGAACUAAAAAACAUCAUGACCUAAGAAACUGCACACCACUGGUUGUCUAGUGGGCUCUAGUUGGUAGAGAAAGCUAUGCUUUUGCCUGAAGCCAUGAUUGGCCAAUCCUUAAAAUGUGCUAAGCACAUUAUCCGAAGAUGUCUCGGAUGUUUUUUUACCUAACCUAAUUUUUUUGUAUUUUUAUAUAAUUUUUUGAUUUUUUUGUAUUUUAUAUACAUAUUUUUGUUUUUUGAUUUUUUUGUUUUUAAUAUUUUUUCUUCUAAUUACUACAUUAAUAUAUUUGAUUAUUCAUAUACUUAAAAUAUAUAGUAUGUAUUAUAAAAAUAGAGCAAUAUAAUAAAGCUAGUAUAACUACAUUACAAACAUAUAUCUAAAUAUUUAGAUAGACUUAUCAAACUAAAGACUCUGCUAGAGAGUGAGUAAUAAUAAUGGCAAUACCUCACACACAAAGCCCAAAACCACACAGACAAAAUAACUUAUGGAAUAUAAUCAAGAACUAAAAUAUACACAUAUAAAUAUACAUAUUAACUUACACCUAAAGAAACAACACACUGUUUGAAGACAUGCAUCUUCCAUGGAGAUAUGAGAUCCCCCACAACUACUGACUUAUUCAGU